ensembl:lncRNA
AUGGACACUAUAUACAGCUAUGCCAGCUCUCUGGUGGAUAAGAUCAGCUCAAUCUUCUGGUGGACAGGCAGCAGUUCAUCACCUGCGAAUCAGACGGAGCCAUCAGAGAGUUCAGACAAAAAUGAUGUCCCAAUCACAAAACCUCACAUAUUGGUGUCUGGGGUCCAGGAGGGGAGCAGUCCUGAACAAACCCAUUCAGGUCAUUCUGAUCAUCCUCGCAUCCCACCACCGUACUGCUCAAACUCAUUCACUGACCCUAAUGAAAUUGCAAAAGUGGACAAGAUCAACCUCAGGGUAAAAUGUGCUGGAAAGACCAUGGAAGUAGACAUGUUCCCACUGGAAAGAAUCUCCGUUUUACUAGAGGAGGCCUGUGAAUGGUAUGGGAAGAAACCAGAGAAAAUGUCGCUGGUUUAUGCAGGAAAUUAUAUGGAUGUGAACAUGACAGUGAGCCACUAUGGACUACGAGGAGGAACCACCGUACAUUUGAUUCAAGCCUAAUCAUCUCUCAAAUAAGUUCUGUUAACACAAGUACACUAAAUCAAAUAUUAUAAAUGUUCAGUGUUAUUUCCUUUAAAACUGUAUUUUCGUUUGUUAAAAGCAUUGCCACUUAGUCUUAUGUUUGUGUAUGUAUAUAGUUAGUUUACACUUACCUCUAUAAUAUUAUUUCAAGGACCUUUUUAAACAUUUUUAAAAACACUAAAAUAAAACUGACUUCACUCAAGAGCA